rnacentral:rRNA from 1 species
GACUACUGGGGUAUCUAAGCCCGUUCGCUACCCACGCUUUCGUGCUUCAGUGUCAGAUAAGCGCCAGUUAGCUGCCUUCGCCUUCGGUAUUCCCCAUGAUAUCAACGGAUUUCACCCCUACACCAUGAGUUCUGCUAACCUCUCACUCUCUCUAGUCUAGCCGUUUCGCUUGCAUUUUCCCGGUUAGGCCGGGAGCUUUAACAAACGACUAACUAGACCACCUACGCACCCUUUAUGCCCAGUAAUUCCGGAUAACGCUUGGGGCACUCGUUUUACCGCUGCUGCUGGCACGAGUUUUGCAGCCCCUUAUUCAUCAGGUACCGUCACUUUAGUUCUUCCCUGAUAAAAGAUGUUUACGUCCCGAAGAACUUCAUCCAUCACGCGGCGUCGCUCCGUCAGACUUUCGUCCAUUGCGGAAGAUUCUCGACUGCAGCCACCCGUAGG